AUAUAUAUAUAUAUAUAUAGUCAUCACAAGGCUCUUAUUCUUUCCUAUCAAUCUAUCGUUACACCAAUGGCCAUGCGAAAGAUUUAUGCAUCUCUCCCUGCUGUAGCUGCCGGAGUUGGAUUCUUCUUCUAUAAUGCGAAGGAACAUGCAAGAAGAAUUUCAGCAUCUAAUCAGGAAACAAUAUCUACAACAAGAGUGGUGGAAGAACAAACCAAGGCCAUUAGAGAACCAAGUGU